rfam:Octopus bimaculoides Scaffold358087_contig_1, whole genome shotgun sequence.
AACCCGGCCCUUUUCAGGGCCACUCAUAUCUUAACGUAAGUCACCU